rnacentral:rRNA from 1 species
GAUGAACGCUGACAGAAUGCUUAACACAUGCAAGUUAAUGGGGAAGAUAUAGCUUGCUAUAUUGGGAACCAUAGCGGACGGGUGAGUAACGCGUAAAGGACUUACCCUCAGGACUGGGAUAACAGAGGGAAACUUCUGAUAAGACCGGAUAUAAUAUAUGUAUUGCAUGAUAUAUAUAUGAAAGGGAACGCCUGAGGAGAGCUUUGCGUCCUAUUAGUUAGUUGGUGGGGUAACGGCCUACCAAGGCGAUGAUAGGUAGCCGGCCUGAGAGGGUGGACGGCCACAAGGGGACUGAGAUACGGCCCUUACUCUACGGGAGGCAGCAGUGGGGAAUAUUGGACAAUGGAGGUAACUCUGAUCCAGCAAUUCUGUGUGCAUGAAGAAGGUUUUCGGAUUGUAAAGUGCUUUCAGCAGGGAAGAAGAAAGUGACGGUACCUGCAGAAGAAGCGACGGGUA